rnacentral:rRNA from 1 species
UCCAGCUCCAAUAGCGUAUAUUAAAGUUGUUGCAGUUAAAAAGCUCGUAGUUGGAUUUCGGAAGGUCUUUAGUGGUCCGCCCCUUCGGGGAGCGGGUCACUGGCCUCCUAUGUUCCUAACGGUCCUCAUCCGCGAGGGUGGGGAAUCAACCGCUAGGAUCGUUUACUUUGAGGAAAUUAGAGUGUUCAAAGCAGGCGUAACUCGCCUCCGAAUACGUUAGCAUGGGAUAAUGGAAUACGACUUCGGUCUUGUUUCGUUGGUUUCGCUUGGCUGAAGUAAUGAUUGAUAGGGACAGUUGGGGGCAUUAGUAUUUAGUUGUCAGAGGUGAAAUUCUAGGAUUUACUAAAGACUGACCAAUGCGAAAGCAUUUGCCAAGGAUGUUUUCAUUAAUCAAGAACGAAAGUAGGGGGAUCGAAGACGAUCAGAUACCGUCGUAGUCUCUACCGUAAACUAUGCCGACCAGGGAUCCGGAGAGUUUGCAUGGAUGACUCCCCGGGCACCUUGUGAGAAAUCAUAAGUGUUUGGGUUUUGGGGGGAGUAUGGUCGCAAGGCUGAAACUAAAGGAAUGACGAAGGCCCCCCACGRGGC